GAUGAACGCUGGCGGCGUGCCUAAUACAUGCAAGUCGAGCGAACAGACGAGGCGCUUGCUCCUCUGACAUUAGCGGCGGACGGGUGAGUAACACGUGGAUAACCUACCUAUAAGACUGGGAUAACUUCGGGAAACCGGAGCUAAUACCGGAUAAUAUAUUGAACCGCAUGGUUCAAUAGUGAAAGACGGUUUUGCUGUCACUUAUAGCUGGAUCCGCGCCGCAUUAGCUAGUUGGUAAGGUAACGGCUUACCAAGGCGACGAUGCGUAGCCGACCUGAGAGGGUGAUCGGCCACACUGGAACUGAGACACGGUCCAGACUCCUACGGGAGGCAGCAGUAGGGAAUCUUCCGCAAUGGGCGAAAGCCUGACGGAGCAACGCCGCGUGAGUGAUGAAGGUCUUCGGAUCGUAAAACUCUGUUAUUAGGGAAGAACAAAUGUGUAAGUAACUAUGCACGUCUUGACGGUACCGAAUCAGAAAGCCACGGCUAACUACGUG
rnacentral:rRNA from 1 species